GCCCGAGGGCGUCUCCGGGGCCGACGCUCCGCCCACGGGAGGCGGCCUGGGGCUGGGGCUGGGGCAGAGCUGCCUGG
rnacentral:miRNA from 1 species